UGAGGGAAAGGCGAAAAGAACCCCGGCGAGGGGAGUGAAAAAGAACCUGAAACCGUGUACGUACAAGCAGUGGGAGCCCCACCACUAAGCCAGUGGUGAACUCCACAUCCGCAUCCUUUGCUGAGGAUACGGUUAACGGAGCGAAAGCGACGUUCAACCGCAAAACAAGCAGAGGGGGCUUAGUGGUGGGGUGACUGCGUACCUUUUGUAUAAUGGGUCAGCGACUUAUAUUCUGUAGCAAGGUUAACCGUAUAGGGGAGCCGGAGG
rnacentral:rRNA from 3 species